rnacentral:misc_RNA from 1 species
UGAGUGAGUGUGAGCUGCAUUUUUGGCCCUUGACACCUUAUGAACUUGAGCCCUUCAAACUUUCGCACAGGUGAUUUCAGUGGUUGGAAGGGAAGGACCAAAGUCUUUGUCAUAGUAAAAUCCAGAGACAACCUUGAGCCUCCUUUAAAACGGUUUUUCUUCUAUCGCCGCCGAAGCUCGUUGGCCGGAGAAGAAGAACUGGGAGACGUCGAACGAGCUGUUCGUAGGUCACUUGCCACUUGUAGAUCUGCUGCCGCGAGGAG